rnacentral:rRNA from 1 species
CGGGUGAAUAAGGGCGAGCAGGCGGGGGAAGAAGUAGGGGGGUAGCGUUAUCCGGGUUGUGUUGGGGUAAAGGGUGCUGAGGUGGGCAUUAAAGACGUGGGUUAAAGGCUACGGCUCAACCGUAUUAAGCCGCCGAAACUGGAAGAAUGGAGUGCAGGAGAGGAAAGUGGAAUUCUCAGUGUAGCGGUGAAAUGCGUAGAUAUUGAGAAGAACACCAGUAGCGAAGGCGGCUUUCUGGACUGUAACUGACACUGAGGCACGAAAGCGUGGGUAGCAAACAGGAUUAGAUACCCUUGUAGUC